UAACAGUUAGAGUGUUGGAGGUCCUAUAGUCAAUUCCCUGUGAGAGCAUGGAUGAUAUUUUUUGUUUCGGUUGUGAGAUAGAGGUUGGGUGGAAGUGAAAUUCUGAAGGAGUUGAGAGUUAGUGGGCUAGUGGGAUUUAGUGGUUAGGAUAGAUUUUAUUUAUAUAUUUAUUUUUUGUUUUCAAAAAUUUUGGGUUUUCUUUUUCUUUCUAAGAAUUUUGACGGUAGUCUCUAUCUCUUCUCCAUUUUUCUGUCAUUGUUAUCUUUUUGUCCCUCCUCUAGUUUCCUUUUUUCUUUCUUCUGUUUCCCUUCAAUUUUG
rnacentral:lncRNA from 1 species